UACGUAGGUGGCGAGCGUUAUCCGGAAUUACUGGGUGUAAAGGGUGUGUAGGCGGGGAUGCAAGUCAGAUGUGAAAACCAUGGGCUCAACCCAUGAUGUGCAUUUGAAACUGCGUUUCUUGAGUGUGGGAGAGGUAAGCGGAAUUCCUAGUGUAGCGGUGAAAUGCGUAGAUAUUAGGAGGAACACCAGUGGCGAAGGCGGCUUACUGGACCACAACUGACGCUGAGACACGAAAGCGUGGGGAGCAAACAGG
rnacentral:rRNA from 1 species